rnacentral:lncRNA from 1 species
GGAUCAUUGGACGGGUGAAAAGGGCAUCACCUGUCUUAGACAGACAAGAUGGUGCCCCCCCCCCAUUUCACAUACAGAAGCUGGCCAGACCUGGCAGCUGAAUGUCACUUGAACACUGACAAUGGGAAGUAGGCUAGUGGGCGCUGUGGCGAUCACACAGGGCCCCCCGACGUUUCACGGUCUAUUGACCCUGUGCCACCACUGCGGUUGCUUUCUUCGCUGCCACCACCCCGCUUCUCACAGGGACACACGGAGUCCAGACAGUUGUUAACGUAAACAAAUAAUCAAGUUUAUUUUUAAGUGCAGGAAUAAGCAUACGGUUUCGGUUUAUUUUUCUCUUGUCAGUUUCUUAAAUCUUAGUUCCUACAACUUCAAACUGAAUUAUUCCCAACUAUCUAUCUAACUCCCUACCAAUUCCUCUCACUCUCUCACAAUACAACUCAACCAACCCACUGCGUAUUCCACCCUCUUCCUUCUCCAACACCCAAGCCUCAACUCCCAACUGACAAACCUCAACUCCCAACUCUCAAACCUCAACCGUCAACUCCCAGACCUCAACUGUCUUUUCAAAAUCUCCCACUCUAUCUUUUACUCCCCCCUCGCAUUCUCACUGGCCAAUCACCUCACACCCAUUUUAACCCUUUCCUUGACGCAUCCUAGGGGCAAACGCCACAGGCGUAGAGCAGGUAUCAAAGCCAACAAGUUGGUCCAGUGCAGUAGGAAGGAUGCCAUUGUAUUGGGGGGGGGUGCUUUAAUUGCUCUCAUUUCUUUUGCAAUUCAUUGAACAGUCAGGGUUGAACCCAACAUUCACAAAUAUAACAGAGAGAGGUGGGCCUGCACAAGGUGCUGGUGUGCUAAAUGGGCAUGUUUAGGUACAUUCAUAGAUGAAAUACAUCAAGAAUCUGCACGUUUUUCUCACGGGCAGGUUAUUACCUUCACAAAUGUGGGGAGGCAAAUUAACGUUCAUUAAUGCCUGGCAUUCAGAUGUUUUUGAUGCUUAGGAUUAACAGCACCAGUUUGUCCUUGUAACCCUAAUAAUGUAUUGAAAGAAAUCAUCUUGAAAUUCUUGUGGCUUCCCACAGAAAUAAAUUCCAUUGCAUUUAAAUCCCUGCUUAACCAUAAAGCUUACUUGGGUGGCCUGAAACUCUCCGUUUACCCCAGCUCAGAUGGUUGCUUGUGUGGAUAAAUGCUGUAAGUGCUAUAAAAGUGCUUUCACUACCACAAAAUGCUAUAUAAAAAAAGAUUAACAAUAUACUUUUCAAAAAAAAUAAAAAUCAAUUAUUUUCUCAUCUUGAGGAAAAACUGUUUUUCAAGGUCAGCAGCUCCUUCUCAUUUCAUGUGCAGUAUUAUUUUUAAAUUUACUACCUCUUCCAUAUCUUCUUUGGAGAAGUUGUUGUGAAAAGCCUUUUAAAAGCUGCUAACAAUGAAUUUUUGUAUUAGCAUUCGCUAAGGGUAUAAUUUACAUCCUGCUGAAUGGAAUGGCUUCAUUGUUUUAAAGUUUCUGGGUUUCAGCUAAUCGUACCUCAGCGUCAGAGCACACAUCUGUGCAAAUAAUAAUACAAUUGAUUUCAAAUAGGAUUAAUGUAAAUUGCACUGUGUCUGUUCAAAACUAAGCCUUACUGAGUUAAAUGGGACCUACUCCCAGGUGUAAGCAUAGGAUCGCAGCCUUCAUCUGCCUGGCCAAAGAAGGCAGAUCCAUGGUAUGACAGCAGGUCUCCCAUGUGUUGAUUUGGGGGAAGCAAACCUGCAUCAGCAUGUAUAGCGAUCCCCGGCUCACAUCUCACCUCUGCAAUGAACAUAGCAUGUGGUCUAUGGUAAGCCACACUCGCAGCCUCCCAUUUGCAAAUCCAAAGAAUAUUGACUUAUGGGACUGUUACAGAAGAUUAUAACUCAAGAAUACAUUGGAAGUGCUUUGAACACUUGGAAGAGCUAUAUAAAACUUUAUUCUUAAUCAUGACCAUCAUCACCCUCGCCCUGCAUAUAGCAAUGUUGCUCUAGGCCUUAAGAAAUGGGGAUACACAUUUCUUCUCAGGGUCACGUUGUGGAUGAGAGAUCAGUCGAGCAGCACUCUUGGCCAUUUGUGAAAUUUCUUGAUCCACAACCAAGAUGAAGUAAACUUUAACCUGGUAGGAGACCUGAUUCUUCUGCCAUAGCAUAUACAAAUGCUUAGGAUGAGUCCUUAAAAAAAAGGGUACCAUUUUGGGCUUUUUCGACAGACAUAUCUGAAAAGCAUGUUUAGGAUCAGGGUGUUUAGUCACUGCAUAAAUCCUAGCAUGCUGGAUUUUGCCUUUGCAGCACAGACAUUUUAAAACAGCUCAAACCAGAUGGAUAUAGGUUAAAUAUAAGGACACGUUAAAAGAUCCUGACACAGGUAUUGCAGAUACUUGUCAUGAACAUAUAAAGUUGCCUUCUACAGAGUCAGUUUUAUUAAGUAGCUGCUAGCUGGCACUCUGUUCAUACUGGAGCUGUGCACGUUUUUUACAGUCAAGGGAUUCAGCCCAGAAGCUGGAAACAGCCACAGUUCAUUGGGUUAAGAGGGAAUGAAAUGAGUGAGAUAAAAACUCAAUGGUCUGAACAUCAAAAUGUGUUGCUAUAUUUAGGUUGCACUCUUGAAUCACUUGGUAUGUGAUGUGAUCUAUCAGUUUUGUGGGGCCCCAUCUGAGCAAGCGGUUUGAGAAGUCCCAGUAGCACCAAGGCCAGCAGAACAAAUCUUGCAUUUUCCUGUUUGUUUUUUAAAGGCCUUUCCGAGAAUCAAACUAUAGAAAGCAGCAUUAAACAUGCCUUUGCAGUUAACAUGCAUGUUUUGUUUUGUUUUAUGCAAAUUGAAGCUGGGGUGGGGGUGUUUGAUAAUUAUCAACAUCACAAAAAGCAAGGGGGAUAAUUUAACCCUUUCUUCCUAUUGCUUUUCUAACCAAAAACCCUCCUUUGAAGCUGCUGUUUGCAUUUGGGAAGAAAUCCCCCUUUAGGGUCAGGAGAUGCUAUUCCAGGAAACAUUUAAAACUGAUAGACAAAAAAUAAAUGUGGGUCAGGCUUAGAUGUCAUAUGAACUCAUAGGAUGUGUUUCUCUGUGUGGGCAUGGCUGUGCCCAUUUUGGCCACACUCAUCUCUUUUUGACCCUGAUCACCAUUGGCAUAUGACACCCAGGAAGGAAUUCAACGUAGCACUAUGGCAAUUGUUCCAUGAGCACAACCAUUUCAGCUUGCCAGACAGAACGAUCCCCUCUCUUCUCCCCAAGCUCUUUCGGGAAUUCUCCCAAACCGUCCACAGCCAAUUUGGGAAGCGCAAAAGGUGGCAGCGGGGGGAGGAAAGCCCAUUUUGUUAGCAGAAGUCCUUGAACAGGCUUCUGCUCGUGGAACUCUUAACUGAAUCUGCCCCCCCCCCAAGGGUCGGCCAAGGGAGAAUGAAGCCCUUGGAUUGAGAAAGGUUCCCCAACCCACUUUAGAGAUUAACAUGCAAUUCAGUGGCAACAAAACCGUUUAUGACCAAUCCCUUGCAAGAUUUCUUGGGGCAUGUUUGCAGUUAACGCAGUCAUAAACAGAGAAUAUGCCAUAUCUUUUCCAGAUGCCUGAGAAAAAAGUAACGAAGACAGCGAUUGAUCCUAACAGAAAUAAACAGCGUUGCAGCCAACUCUGGAGAGUGUUCAUAUUCAAACUGGGCUCCUGUUUAAAAAUAUCAUCCCCCUGAGCUUUUCUCCAGGGCAAGGCAGCUGGAUAGACAGGCAGGCUAGCACAGUUUGAAUGUUGUGUGUUUUGUCUGCCUGUCUCACUCUGCAGAUUUGUGUGUUGAAGCACUGUGAUUUAUUUUUUUAAGAGUUCAAUUACCCAGCUGUGACAAAGUUCAUUGCUAUCAAAGAUCAGUUCAGUUUCAGAUGAUUAUUGUUUUUAUAGACAGACAAUAGGAACCUGAAAAUCAAGAUUGCGGUCUGGAACUUUGACAUCACUGCAACUUAGACAGUAAAAUGGAUGGAAUCUUGCAACAAGCCCAGGCUGUCUAACCCAGAUAUAUGUACCUGAACGAGCAAAAGGAGAGAUUGCUGUUGGCUGGGAAAUACCUUUCUCAAAUUUCAUGUCAUCUAUAAAUCCAUUGGGUAAACAUAGUUUAUUCUUCCUUAGAGAUUAUUUCAAUGUAACAUUUAAUGUACUCAAUAACCUGUGAUUGUAUCAGUGGGAAAGUCUUAUUGGAAUAAGAGUCCAUACAGGUUUACUUUUCUACAGAAGCCAGGGGAGGUUUCAUUGCCCUUGGGAGAGGACACACAUAUUCUUGAUGUAGAUCUUUUCUCCUUCUCCUGUUUGUGGGAGAAUUUUGUGGUUCGCCUCAGGUGUCAAAAUGUCUUGGGCCAGCCCUGGAAAAAGUUGUGUGGGUAAAUCUGAUCAAACAAAGGCUUCAACGGUUUAUAAUGAAAAGCACUCAGCACAAUCCAACUGCCAAGCUUAGACUGGUUGUUUCUGUUUCUCCAAGUAAAUCAAAUUUAUUAGACACUUCUCACAUUUUUUUCUCCCUGGAGUCCUGCCGCUACUUGAGUCUACCAUAAACACAGCUCCAGUCAAUUGCUGGCUGAAGCCCCAGAUGUUCAAGGGCUCAUGUGCUAUGAGGGUGAAAAUGGUCAUCUGUCAUGGAUGAUUUAGCAGAGAUUCCUGCAUUGCAGGGGGUUGGACUAGAUUACCCUUGGGUCCCUUCCAACUCUAAGAUUCUAUGAAACUCAUCUCCUAAGGCCCAUAUGAAAAUCAAGCACACCGUUACAUAUUUUUUCCUGCGCAGAUGGAAAAACAGCUGGGGUAUGUGGUUUUUGAGUAAGAAAAUGGCCAGGGGAGUUGGUUUAAGCAACCCCACCCACUUCUAUUAUUCGUCUGCUCAAACUAAAAGGUUACUGAGACUGAUAUUGGUUAAAACAAACAUUCAUCCCAUGUCUUGUUUGGGCCUGCGUCUGGGUUCUAUGAGGUUCUGGCAGCUAUUAAGAUGAUCUUUACUCACGAAUGUGCACAGUGCCAAAGAAGCUAAUCAGUUUCAAGAAACAAUCCCUCGUCUGGUGGAAAGUGUGACAAGUGCCCUCUCUUCAGCCAAGUCUUCCAGGCAGCUGCCUGGAGUUGCUCUAUUAUUUUCCACCAGGCAACAGAGUGCUUUCUGAGCCAAGAGCUCUACUAUUAUGAAGCU